AACGAACGCUGGCGGCAUGCCUAACACAUGCAAGUCGAACGAGACCUUCGGGUCUAGUGGCGCACGGGUGCGUAACGCGUGGGAACCUGCCCUUAGGUUCGGAAUAACUCCCCGAAAGGGGUGCUAAUACCGGAUACUGUCUUCGGACCAAAGAUUUAUCGCCUUUGGAUGGGCCCGCGUUGGAUUAGCUAGUUGGUAGGGGAUAAGCCUACCAAGGCGACGAUCCAUAGCUGGUCUGAGAGGAUGAUCAGCCACACUGGGACUGAGACACGGCCCAGACCCGGACGGAACGGAGCAGUAGGGAGCACUAUGCGAGGAGCGCAAGCGCAACGCAGCAGUGUGGGGGGUGAGGGGCAUCGCGUUGUAAACCUAAUCCCGUAUGGCCGAGACGAUAAUGACAGUACCGGGAGAAGAAGCACCGGCUAACUCCGUG
rnacentral:rRNA from 1 species